rnacentral:lncRNA from 1 species
CAUUCCUUGAGCCAACUCCCUUUCUCCGGGUCUUCCCCGGGCGGAGACGAACUGUCGGCCUGACCAAUCGGCGCGCGGGGGAGGGGCCGCGGCUCGCCAAGGGGGCGUGACAAGCCCGGGAUUGGGCGGUGGCCUUCAAGGGCGGAGCGUUGGGGAUCCUGCGGCCUGGAUUCGAGUCCUGGGCUGGGGUCUCCUAGCGCAAGGGUGUUGGGGUUGACUGAGACCCCCGGACCUCCCCCGAGGAGGGUUUGACCCCGGCUCCCCGCGAGCCAUCGCCACUGUCCCGCCCUCGCCCAUUGGUCCAGCCGUCGUCCAUCCGUCCAGCCUCCAGUAAACAGUGCACAGCCACUGGACGUUUGUCAUUCUCCGACCACCCUGUGCGAUGGGGACCGGGAUUGCUCCGGCGCAAGGAGCUGCGGGUCUGGGCGCUGCUUUCUGGGACACUUGGCGGGUGGCUGCCGGAGCGGCCCCAGGCGUAGGGACGCCCCCGCCUCCCCUCCCGCACUGCGCCUAGGGCCCUACGCUCACCGCGGACCACCAUCCCCGCCCCAGCCCUGCGGGGACCCCUUCCUCUAUGCGCUCCUUCCGCUCCCCCUCGCCUGGCCGGAGCCCCCAGCCUUUGGGUGCGCGUCCUCAGCGAUUGCACAGUGAAGACGCUGCUCCUCUUUAGAAAACCCCACUCUCCCUUGAGACUCCCUCCCCUCCGCCUUCCUCCUCUCUCUAUAGAGCUGCUGCUGGAAGUGCCCUCUGAGCUCCAGGAGGUCCACGUCCAGGCCCCAUGGGGCGCGCCUGCCCUGGGCCUCCGUGGCAUUGCCCAUGUCCUUCUGUGUCCUGACCCGCAUCCUCUUCUUCCUGUCCAAAUAUCAGCGGGAUCCGCACCCCCUUCAGAAAGGCUCCCUUCUUCCUCCAGGCCCUGGCUCUGCAGAUCCCUUCUUCCCACCUUCAGUUCAGCUGCCAUGGCUUCCACUGUCCCCCAAUCCUUUCUCCAGGGGCCAGGUCAUUUCCUGGGCCUUCUCCAAUGUCAUUCAAAGGACUUCAUGAAUUUGCCAUAUCUACUGACCAUCCACUGACUACUGGCUGUUUCUAACUUUAUUA